rnacentral:misc_RNA from 1 species
CAAAAGGAUACCUUUAUGGUAUACCCCAUCCGUGUCUACAUACUCUUGUUGCUUUGGCAGGCCGUGGUCUUGACCCUGUGGGCUCUGCCUGCAUGUGCCUGCCAGAGGACCAAACUCUGAAUUUUAGUGAUGUCUGAGUACUAUAUAAUAGUUAAAACUUUCAACAACAGAUCUCUUGGUUCU